GGAUGUGAGGGCAAUCUUCACCCCAUUGAUUGCCAGGGUUGAUUCUACUGAUCUGGCUGGCUAGGCUGUUGUCCCCUGCCUCCCUCAUGGCUCCAUAUGAGUCCCUUCCCAAGCUGUGUGCACUUGAAAGACCAGCCUUCCCUAAUAUAGACUAACUGGUCUUGGGUUGAGGGUGUAUGAAUAGUGGCACUCCCCUGCUAGAACCUCCUAACAAGCUCUUGAGUCCUAAGUUCCCAGCUGCAGGGGGAAGAUUCAGGAGCAGUGUGGUCAAGUUUCAGGUGUCUCUGUCACUCUCU
ensembl:misc_RNA 7SK 7SK RNA